AUCAAGAAGAAACAUUUAAGAGAAGAAAAGUGGAGUAGAAAAGGAAAAAUAGAAGUCCUAGCACUAGCAGCGGGACAAUAAAAAUGAAUUUCCAUCAACAAUAUUUAUAGAAAUUUAUCUCAUUUCUUAACAACAAAAUGGAAAAGUUAAAGAAAACAAAGUAACACACACCCGUGACCUGUCAGCUAUUAUACUGAGCUAAGCUAGACAGUGGAUACUCUUCAUUCAUUCAACAAAAGAAAACUGGAUUAAUAUAGAGAAGAAGAAGUCCAUAAAUAUAUAUUUCCAGUCAGUAUUACUUUGCUUAAUCUUCUAUUUAACAAACAAAAAAUGGGGUUUCCAUCAAAUAUCCAAUGAAGCAAACAUAAAAGAACAAGGGGAAAACAAAAAGACAGAAUUUUUGCCCACCCUUAUCAUUUAAUAUCAAAAUAUACGGUCUAAUUCACCAAAUAAAGAUGUG
rnacentral:misc_RNA from 1 species